AUUGAGCGCUGGCGGCAGGCCUAACACAUGCAAGUCGAACGGUAACAGGAAGCAGCUUGCUGCUUCGCUGACGAGUGGCGGACGGGUGAGUAAUGUCUGGGAAGCUGCCUGAUGGAGGGGGAUAACUACUGGAAACGGUAGCUAAUACCGCAUAAUGUCGCAAGACCAAAGAGGGGGACCUUCGGGCCUCUUGCCAUCGGAUGUGCCCAGAUGGGAUUAGCUUGUUGGUGGGGUAACGGCUCACCAAGGCGACGAUCCCUAGCUGGUCUGAGAGGAUGACCAGCCACACUGGAACUGAGACACGGUCCAGGCUCCUACGGGAGGCAGCAGUGGGGAAUAUUGCACAAUGGGCGCAAGCCUGAUGCAGCCAUGCCGCGUGUAUGAAGAAGGCCUUCGGGUUGUAAAGUACUUUCAGCGGGGAGGAAGGGAGUAAAGUUAAUACCUUUGCUCAUUGACGUUACCCGCAGAAGAAGCACCGGCUAACUCCGUG
rnacentral:rRNA from 1 species